UACGGGGGGGGCAAGCGUUGUUCGGAAUUACUGGGCGUAAAGGGCUCGUAGGCGGCCAACUAAGUCAGACGUGAAAUCCCUCGGCUCAACUGAGGAACUGCCUUUGAAACUGGACGGCUUGAGGCCGGGAGAGGGUAGCGGAAUUCCCAGUGUAGCGGUGAAAUGCGUAGAUACUGGGAGGAACACCGGUGGCGAAGGCGGCUACCUGGACCGGUUCUGACGCUGAGGCGCGAAAGCGUGGGUAGCAAACAGG
rnacentral:rRNA from 1 species